UGUGCUGAUAUUUGGGGUGUCGAAAAGGGAGUGUAGUUGGCAUUUCCUCAAUGGAAACAAAUUAUUACCAUUCUUGUGGAGAAAGGCAGGACUGCAAGUAACACAGUCUAAGCUUACUUCCUUGAGUUGCCCAAGGAACUGGUUCCUUGAACAAGUGACGUGCUCUGAAAGAGUUAAAUGUGCAAUAGAAUGACAAGUAUAUUUUCUUAAAAGCUUUAUAAUUUGAAUAAGUAUUUGCAAAGGUCCUAACUUCUAAAACCACUCUAAAUGCAGCC
rnacentral:lncRNA from 1 species